UGUACGUACAAGCAGUGGGAGCCCCACCACCAAAGCAUUCUCUGGUGUUGAAGGCCCUGCAAAGCAGCAUCGCGGUGGCGGAGCGUCGUUUGCGACGCCCAACACACAAAACAAGCGGUGAGUGCUUUGGGGUGGGGUGACUGCGUACCUUUUGUAUA
rnacentral:rRNA from 1 species